CCUAUACAUGCAAGUCGAGCGGUAGCACAGGGAGCUUGCUCCUGGGUGACGAGCGGCGGACGGGUGAGUAAUGUCUGGGAAACUGCCUGAUGGAGGGGGAUAACUACUGGAAACGGUAGCUAAUACCGCAUAACGUCUACGGACCAAAGUGGGGGACCUUCGGGCCUCAUGCCAUCAGAUGUGCCCAGAUGGGAUUAGCUAGUAGGUGGGGUAAUGGCUCACCUAGGCGACGAUCCCUAGCUGGUCUGAGAGGAUGACCAGCCACACUGGAACUGAGACACGGUCCAGACUCCUACGGGAGGCAGCAGUGGGGAAUAUUGCACAAUGGGCGCAAGCCUGAUGCAGCCAUGCCGCGUGUGUGAAGAAGGCCUUCGGGUUGUAAAGCACUUUCAGCGAGGAGGAAGGGUUCAGUGUUAAUAGCACUGUUCAUUGACGUUACUCGCAGAAGAAGCACCGGCUAACUCCGUGCCAGCAGCCGCGGUAAUACGGAGGGUGCAAGCGUUAAUCGGAAUUACUGGGCGUAAAGCGCACGCAGGCGGUUUGUUAAGUCAGAUGUGAAAUCCCCGCGCUUAACGUGGGAACUGCAUUUGAAACUGGCAA
rnacentral:rRNA from 2 species